rnacentral:rRNA from 1 species
GAUGAACGCUAGCGGCAGGCCUAAUACAUGCAAGUCGAACGGGAUUAAGAGGCUUGCUUCUUAUGAGAGUGGCGCACGGGUGCGUAACACGUAUGCAACCUACCUUUAACUGGGGGAUAGCCUUCCGAAAGGAAGAUUAAUACCGCAUAAUAUAAUGGAGUGGCAUCACUUUAUUAUCAAACUAUUUGGGUUAAAGAUGGGCAUGCGUCCGAUUAGCUAGUUGGUACGUUAACGGCGUACCAAGGCAACGAUCGGUAGGGGAUCUGAGAGGAUGGCCCCCCACACUGGUACUGAGACACGGACCAGACUCCUACGGGAGGCAGCAGUAAGGAAUAUUGGUCAAUGGACGGAAGUCUGAACCAGCCAUGCCGCGUGCAGGAAGACGGUCCUCUGGAUUGUAAACUGCUUUUGUUAGGGAAGAAACUUCCGUACGUGUACGGGACUGACGGUACCUAAAGAAUAAGGAUCGGCUAACUCCGUGCCAGCCGCCGCAGUAACAC